UGUGUUAGAGGAAGCUAGAGGUUAGAGAUGUGUUAGAGGAAGCUAGAGGUUAGAGAUGUGUUUUAGAGGAAGCUAGAUGCUAGAGAUGUGUUAGAGGAAGCUAGAGGAUAGAGAUGUGUUAGAGAAAGCCAGACGAUAGAGAUGUGUAAGAGGAAGCUAGAGGUUAGAGAUGUGUGUUAGAGGAAGCUAGAGGUUAGAGAUGUGUUAGAGGAAGCUAUAGGUUAAGAGAUGUGUUAGAGGAAGCUAGAGGAUAGAGAUGUGUUAGAGGAAGCUAGAGGAUAGAGAUGUGUUAGAGGAAGCUAGAGGUUAAAGAUGUGUUAGAGGAAGCUAGAGGUUAGAGAUGUGUUAGAGGAAGCUAGAGGUUA
ensembl:lncRNA